GGGAGUUUGGCCGAGUGGUUAAGGCGUUGCGUUUAGGUUAAACCUAGAUACCGAAUCCGCAAUGGACAUUGUCCGCGCAAGUUCGAUCCUUGCAGCUCUCA
rfam:Pseudallescheria apiosperma strain IHEM 14462 SEQ_SAPIO_0090, whole genome shotgun sequence.